GCCCCCGUAGCUCAGUGGAUAGAGCAACUGAUUCCUAAUCAGUAGGUCGCAGGUUCGAUUCCUGUCGGGGGUA
rnacentral:tRNA from 1 species